rnacentral:rRNA from 1 species
UACGGGGGGGGCAAGCGUUGUUCGGAAUUACUGGGCGUAAAGGGCUCGUAGGCGGCCAACUAAGUCAGACGUGAAAUCCCUCGGCUUAACCGGGGAACUGCGUCUGAUACUGGAUGGCUUGAAUCCGGGAGAGGGAUGCGGAAUUCCAGGUGUAGCGGUGAAAUGCGUAGAUAUCUGGAGGAACACCGGUGGCGAAGGCGACAUCCUGGACCGGUAUUGACGCUGAGGCGCGAAAGCGUGGGGGGCAAACAGG